rnacentral:lncRNA from 1 species
GGGAGGGAACGCUGCUGUCUCUGACUCACAGCUGUCUGUUGAAUUUCUGCCAUCACCAGUUAAGGCAUAGAUUAGGCCUGACUCUACAACUCAUUGCUAGACCUGAGAGGAUGGAGAGAUACCAGCCUCAGAAGAAGCUGUCCUAACUGAAGAAACCAUCCACUCACUUAACCCAUGUAAUAUCAUAGCUCCAUGAGACGGGAUCAACUUCUGACUUGCAGUAAGUCAUCCAUUUCCAAGACACCACCUCAACUGCUAAGACACUGUCCAAACUGUGGACAAGCAGGAAACUGGAGAAUUGAUUACCCUGCUUUGCCAAGACAAGAUAAGCUCAAAGAAAGGGACAGUCUUCAAAGGCCUUGUCAUUAAAGAGAAAAGAAAC